AUUGAACGCUGGCGGCAGGCUUAACACAUGCAAGUCGAGCGGAGUGAUGGUGCUUGCACUAUCACUUAGCGGCGGACGGGUGAGUAAUGCUUAGGAAUCUGCCUAUUAGUGGGGGACAACAUCUCGAAAGGGAUGCUAAUACCGCAUACGUCCUACGGGAGAAAGCAGGGGAUCACUUGUGACCUUGCGCUAAUAGAUGAGCCUAAGUCGGAUUAGCUAGUUGGUGGGGUAAAGGCCUACCAAGGCGACGAUCUGUAGCGGGUCUGAGAGGAUGAUCCGCCACACUGGGACUGAGACACGGCCCAGACUCCCACGGGAGGCAGUAGUGGGGAAUAUUGGACAAUGGGGGGAACCCUGAUCCAGCCAUGCCGCGUGUGUGAAGAAGGCCUUAUGGUUGUAAAGCACUUUAAGCGAGGAGGAGGCUCUUUUGGUUAAUACCCAAGAUGAGUGGACGUUACUCGCAGAAUAAGCACCGGCUAACUCUGUGCCAGCCGCCGCCGUAA
rnacentral:rRNA from 1 species